CGGCCGCCCGCCCGCGCCGCGGCCUCCUCGCGUGGCGCUGCGGGAGCGGGCCGUGAGAACGGCCGGGUGUGCCGCCCCCGGCAGCGCGUGGUCUCGGGCCUCGCCGCGCUCCUCCCGCGGAAGGGCGAUUUGUUGUCCCUCCCCACGGACGCGGAUGUGGAAGGAAUUGCCCGCAGACAGAAAGGAGACGCGCGGGUGGCUGCUCGACCCCGGCGGCGGGCGCUGAUCCCUGGACCCGGCGGCGCUGCGGGGAGGGCCGGCUUGCCUCCUCGCGUGGCCAUCCUCGGAAGGGUCGCUACCCAGUGCGCUAAAUACGUAACAAACAAGCAGUUCAGAAACAGAGCCCCGUCCCCAAAGCGACCGCUCUGGUGCCGGCAGUCGCUCGCUGUCUACUUGCAGACAAACCGCGAGGCAGCAGGGGGCGCUGUGAUCGCGCACAGCCGGCGUUGCGCAGCAGCCCAGCCGGGGCCUCCCGUUCUCAUGGCGGCCCAGCAAGCGCGCGCAUCCAGCGCCGCCGUUCCCUCACCGUGGAUGUGCUUAUCCUCGUCGUGUUUUCCCCCUUGUGACAGCUGAGAAGGGAAGGUUUCAGAUAUACAAAUUCACCUGGCUCUUUCUCGUAGCAUAGAAGUCUUCUAAGCACUAAAGUGAGGAGCUUAGCUUGCUUAAGUCUUCCUGAAGCUGACAUUGCCAGGAGACACAACCAGUGCUGUGCUCAGAGGUACAGACAGCCCAGAGCGCUGUCCGGGCUCAGAUGGGGACGGUCCCUGCCCUGCAGCCUGCAUCCACAGCGAGCCAAGGCAGCCGCUGCAAGGAGUCGCUGCUGGGAUGCGCUGCCUCCAGUGCUGCCAUCUGGGGAGCGGGCACCACCAGCUCCUCAUUGCAGAGGUUGUUGUCAGGGUUUGAUUUUCAGGAGAGACUUGAAUGGGAAUGCGGUUGUGUUGCAGAUUUUUAUAGGCAGCUUGUGAAAGCAAAACAGAAAUGGAAAAACUAAAACAAUUGCAACAUACUCCUCCUUGGAAACUACCAUGGCCACAGAAACCAGAAGGCAAAAGAAAUGCACUUCACUCAGCUUGCCAAAAGAGAAGAAGGGUGGUCUUGUAGCUGAAGCACGGGGAUUACAGCCCUCAUCUGAAUGCUGACCUCUCCGUGCACCAAAAUUAGCAAAUGAAGCCACCUGAAUCAUUAAAUCCUGAAGGAAAUCUGGCAGGGAACUGGAGGAGGUUGCUGCUGUGCUUCCAAGUUUUCCUGGAAGCAAGCUUGUACUGAAAAGAAGCAGAGAUUCAGGAAGAGAACUAAAGAAGACAUUUUGACAGCUCUUUCAGAGAGCAGGAUAUGCCACCAGGAAGCUUCUGAGGCAGAGAGGUCAGCUUCAGGGGAGAAGCUCUCCAUAAGAAUCGGGAGGUCUUCUGUCAUGUCUUAGGAACAAGUUCUUGUGCCAUGAGCUCUAUCCUAAACACUGCUGUUUGUCUUCAUGAAUACCUCCUGUUUUAUUUAAUAUUAUUCCAUAGCCUUGUUUUCAAAGAAUUCAACUUUCUUUCAUUGUGUAGCAGCAGUGUCAACUUUGAUUUAUUUUUUGUGAGGGAGACCAAGAAAUAGAAAUAUUUCUAGAAACUCUAAUGCAUCACAUUGUUACGGUAGAGAAAACUGGUAGUUUUCAGGGAACAGGUUUGGGGAGGUGUAAGUGGACCUGUGCGGGAAGUCGUGCCUGUAACGUGUGCAGCCAGGUCACAGCUCUCCCCUGUAGGCUGCAAAGAACCGCUGUGCUGUGCCGUGCCUCACACUGAGGGGUUACACAGCCUCAGGUGGAGGCUGCACGGCUGAGAGCUCUGUGCCACGUGGCACAGCCAUCCCAAAGUAGUGACCCAACAGUGGCAUCCCUUUGGAAUCUAGGCAGAUGGGACACUUGUGUAAAGCAAGCCAAAAUGACCAGGUCAUGGUCCCACACUUGCCAUACAUUUUCCACAGCCAACAUUAUAAUAACUUGGCAGCUAUACUUCAUUUAUUUAAUACUCUUAAAGCAAGCAUAUUAUCAAUACUUAGGGAUGUGAGUUUCAGUGUGCACCUCCCUUACAUUUUUUUAAUAUUACUGGAAUACUAUAGCAGGUACUGAAUUGAAAGACCCAGGCCUGUGUUUGAACCCGGAGGAAGUUUUGCAUGAAGUUGAAGCACAUCUCAUGCACACACUUUGAGGUGUGGACUUUCACACAAGAAACUCAAAGACUUUCUGAAUAUAAGCCAUCAAAUUCAUCUCUCUUGCAGUCUCACUGAUGUCAGUACAGUCAUAGUGAGAUACAGGAGGUCAGAAUUUGGUAGCUGUUCGCAUAACUUCUCUCUUUGGAGCUGUAAACAAUAAACCACAAUUUUAUUAGGGUUAAAACUUUGCUAUUAUCUUUAAAUAAGUUUCACGAUAUGACCUUGAAAUCUGGUUUCUGCGGAUCUUUCUAAGUCAUCUGGGAACUGCAACAAGUUGUCUGCAGUGCAGAGAAGGCCUGUACAAUAUGAUGCACCUUCUGGGUGCUCUAGAAAUGAUAUUUACCAAACCUCACAGCUCAUCUCCCCAGAAAAGAGAAGAUAUAUAAUCAUCACUUCAUUUUGUACAGCAGAUUUUUAAGCAGACAUCGAAUGUCUGGUUAAGAGCUGUGCAAAGCAUCAGGGAGGUAAUUAAGCUGGAGCUCAAGAGUAAUGAGGUGACAGAGAUUGUGUUGAGCAUCAUUUCUUUCACGUUGAUGUGUCCUACUUUAAGAAACACAGAAAUGCAGUUGUGAAAAAUUUCCACCAGACGAUCCCACUGAGGUUAUGGGAUAUUUUUUUCUAUGUACACAUUUAAGAGACAGGUUGAAGAAUAUCACACUAUGUUGAAAGGCAAGGCAAGGCAAAGCAAGGCGAGGAGGAAAAAAAACAAAAAUCAGUCAAUGGGAAUAUGGGAAUUCUAGGUCAACAGAAUGUCACUAAGGAGGACAACAUUGUCCUUGAUAUCAGAGAGCACAAGGGAAUGAAUCAUUAUAAAAGGAGACACAAGGUCCUUCUCAAAAGGACAGGCUUACGAGCAGCAUAUUUCUCUUGACACUGUGGGGUGUUGCUUUCUUAGGAAGAAGAGGAUCACCUAUGAACUCACCAGCACCAUUUCCUAUCUCUGCUGAGACUGCCUAAAGAAACAAGACCUGGCUGGACUUCUGAGGUUUAGGGAUCACAACAUGAACUGCCGUGCCUGUAAAACAGUGUUUUCUUCACAGCCUGUGUGAGAAUGCCUGACGUGAGAGCUGCACAGCAGAACAAAGAGAUAAUCAAGUUAGCUACCAGAUGAGUGAGGUGACAGAGAUUGGCUGAGACACUAUUGCUCUCAUUUCCACAAGCCCUCAAGUUGCAUAAACAGAGACAGUUUUGACUGUCAUAACCAGAUACUUCCAGUAUGACUCCCUUCUUUUAAGACUUGCCAAGUUUACCUGUUUAUUCAAGUUUUACUUGUAUUUUUCGUCUUCCCUAAUGCUCCUCCAAAUAUCCAGAUACUUUCUAGGAACAGUGUGGUGGGGAGGCCACUCCAGCAGCUAGUAGCUGGGCUGCACUCCCUGGGUCAGAGGCUGGAGGCAGCAGUUUCCUGUUUUGCUGGUAUUCAAUGCCAUUUAACAAUAGGGGGAAAGAAAAAAACUGCAGGACCUAAGCAUAGCAAAGCUGUUUUCUUCAUGAGCUGUCUGCCUGUUCCCCGCUCUGCCCCAGGCUCACCCCCACUUGGUGGCCCUGCCUGGCCAGAGGAAAGGAGGCAGCAGGGAAAAGAAGCAGAGGCACUGGAUCCUGAGGGAAUGAGCGCUGGAAGGCAUUUCUGCCAUACAAGCAGCCUGAACAGCUUGCCAGCUGGUCUGAAAUAGCAGACUGAAUAUUGCUAGUUUUUGUCCUUCCUCCUGCCUCCCGUGAGAGAGAAAAUGAGAUCCACGUGCAGCACUUCUGGAACAUCACAAUCAGCAAGAAUCACGCAUGCCUUUUUACAACUCAAAGUGUAUUGUCCUUCCUAGUAGAUGGUUUUAACUCUGUUUUGAGAUAAGGAUUUUCAGUAGUGGUCCAUUCAUUUGAGUAGGAACUGCUCUAACAGAGAUUCUUCACUCUGCCUUUUUCAAUGCCACCUUUCUCUAGUAGUCUGCUCAGUGCCAAAUCCCUAAUCCAUAUUUAUCAGUUCACAACGUUCCUUUGCUCUCCUGCUCUCCUCCUCCUAUCUCCAUUCUCAGACAGUAUCCCUUGCUACCAUGCUGGAGCUUGGCUCUCGUGAUCUCUGUCAAAACCCAAAUCUUACCUCAUUUACUGGCCUUAUUUUUCACAAGGAUCUCCUGAGAUUAAGGGUUGCAAGGUGUAGCUCUGUAAAGUAGAUUAAUGUAGGCAUUGUAACUACAACUGGAGUUACUCAAAAACAGGAAACUCAGGUAUGAAAAUAGUAAUUUGAGUUUGUUGCUAUCCCUUUCCCUGUAUUUCAGCAUCCCCCUGUUUUCCUGAAUACAUGUUGUCUUCAGACACACACUGAGCGGCAGACAGGAGCCCCAGGGAGAUUAGAAGUAGUAGGCUCUUUGUUAGCACUCAGGCUACAGAAAUACCAAGUGAGUCAUCCCUGCUUGCAGUAGCAGGUAGCCCUGCCAUCACCAAUCACAGAUUCUUAAAUACAAACCUGCCAAGGAAAUUCUCAGAAGGAAUGCAGGUACUAUAAAUGCAAUCCCUUUGUUAUAGCCCACAGCCUUAAAAACCUGUGACAAGUCCUACAGCUUUCAAAGCUCAGGAAUGGCACUGUUUGAUGAUUCAGGCAUUCAGAUAGUGCGGUAGGUUUACAGAACUGUG